rnacentral:rRNA from 1 species
AGUGAACGCUGGCGGUAGGCCUAACACAUGCAAGUCGAACGGCAGCACAGGAGAGCUUGCUCUCUGGGUGGCGAGUGGCGGACGGGUGAGGAAUACAUCGGAAUCUACUCUGUCGUGGGGGAUAACGUAGGGAAACUUACGCUAAUACCGCAUACGACCUACGGGUGAAAGCAGGGGACCUUCGGGCCUUGCGCGAUUGACUGAGCAGAUGUCGGAUUAGCUGGUUGGCGGGGUAAAGGCCCACCAAGGCGACGAUCCGUAGCUGGUCUGAGAGGAUGAUCAGCCAAACUGGAACUGAGACACGGUCCAGACUCCUACGGGAGGCAGCAGUGGGGAAUAUUGGACAAUGGGCGCAAGCCUGAUCCAGCCAUACCGCGUGGGUGAAGAAGGCCUUCGGGUUGUAAAGCCCUUUUGUUGGGAAAGAAAUCCAGCUGGCUAAUACCCGGUUGGGAUGACGGUACCCAAAGAAUAAGCACCGGCUAACUUCGUGCCAGCCGCCGCGGUAA